rnacentral:rRNA from 1 species
CCUACGGGAGGCAGCAGUGGGGAAUAUUGGACAAUGGGCGCAAGCCUGAUCCAGCCAUACCGCGUGGGUGAAGAAGGCCUUCGGGUUGUAAAGCCCUUUUGUUGGGAAAGAAAAGCAAUCGGCUAAUACCCGGUUGUUCUGACGGUACCCAAAGAAUAAGCACCGUCUAACUUCGUGCCAGCAGCCGCGGUAGUACGACUGGUGCAAGCGUUACUCGGAAUUACCGGGCGUAAAGCUGGCGUAGGUGGUUGCUUAAGUCGGUUGUGAAAUCCCUGGGCUCAACCUGGGAAUUGCCUUGGAUACUGGGCGACUAGAGUGUGGUAGAGGGUAGUGGAAUUGCAGGUGUAGCAGUGAAAUGCGUAGAGAUCGGGAGGAACAUCCAUGGCGAAGGCAGCUACCUGGCCCAACACUGACGCUGAGGCACGAAAGCGUGGGGAGCAAACAGGAUUAGAUACCCUAGUAGUC